rnacentral:sRNA from 1 species
UCCCGUCGAAUUCCGGCACUGGGCGCAAC